UUCAUAGAAUCGCACCCUGCAAACAACACAGCCAGAGAGGGUCUCCGUGAAACUCAAACCAAGGUCAGGGUGAAGUGCCCAUUGUGAGACCCCGGGGCCCCAUUUCUUACACAACUGUGUGCAGCACUUUUCACAGACCUGGACUGUGCUCUCCUGUUCCCCCUUCCCUACUAGAUUGGAAGCUCCAUGAGGUCAGGGACCAUGUGUCCACGUCCUCCCAUUUUCUGUCUCUCCAAAGGCCUUGCACGAUGUUGGGCACCGAGUCCAACUUGAUGGGUACUCACUGAGUUAGAAAUCAAGUACGACCCAGGACCAGGAGGCUUUGUGACUUCACUGUCCGCAGAAAAAACUUGUUUUGGGCAUCGUUAAACUCCUAUUACUAACCUCAGAGGGACUUUGCAGCCUGUGAGAUUAAUCCAGAGGCCCUCAGAUCUCCUGCAAGGUGCUUCCCAUCACCUCCAAGCCCAAGCCUGCAACCUCCCUCCGCUGCUGUCAGGGGAGAAAAGGAACGCUUCCCUGAGUCAGGCGAACAUCACAGACUGGUGUGGAACACAGACUUCUAGAUGCUGCAGACAUCAGGGCCACCACCUUUGUCAGCAGGUACCUGGAGAAAUCAUGGGAUGCAACCUGUAUUUUGAUGACAGUCGUGUAUGUAUCAUGGAAGCUAUACAGGAACACGUCUUUCCUCAAGUCCUGGGAGGCUCCAGAGUUGUGCUCCAGGGAUGCCACUCACACAGAUCACAAGACGAGGCCCUGCAGUGGACCCUCAAGCUGGGCAAUGCAGCUGCCCCACCCAACAGCUCUUCCGAAUGAGAGGGGCUGUCCGGUCUCCUGGGAAAUGCCCGAUUCUCUGCAGGAGGAGCCUAACCAGGGGCUGCAGCCUGUGACCCUGCUCAGUCCCUGUCGCUCAGUCUUCCCCUUCCAGGACUCUCACACUUGAGAAGGAUGGCGAGGAGAGGGGCAGGUGCAGUCUGGGAAGAGAGCUGCCCUACAAAGACACACCCCUGACAAGGCACUGCUUGACAGGAUUCCUCCAGUUUCUGGCAAUGGUGUUCCAGAAACACCAGGGUUAUUAAAUAGGGGAGGGGGCCGUGGAGUCUCCUUCCACAGGAACAAGUGGAGCCAUCCAGAGUGGGAAGGCCCUGAGUCAGUAAUUCUAUUCCUGCCCCUAAGAGAGAACAGGGGGAAAAGGACAAAUGGGUCCCAAGUAAAAGACAAAGCAAGACAA